rnacentral:misc_RNA from 1 species
AAUUGGCCUGAUUAUUGUUUCUUCCUCUUCUUGAAGGAUUUUAUUUUGUUUGAUAUUGGUAGGCAGAAAUUAAUCAUCAUGAGAGAUAACCAAUCAUCAUAACAUUUUGAAUCAAGGGAGCCAGGAUGAUUAUGCUGUGCUUUGAGAAAUGUGCAAAAAAUGUUUUGAAUUCUGCUUUUAUUUAAACUUAUCCCUGUUAUGAAUGCAAUUGCAGGUUUUGAG